rnacentral:misc_RNA from 1 species
AAGUCGUAACAAGGUCCGUACGUGAACCUGCGGAAGGAUCAUUAACACGUAUCCAAACGUUAAAACCCCCCCGUGAACAUUCAUCCUCACCCGCGAAGCUUGCAAUCUCUGGUAAAUCAUAGCCCGGAAAGUAGUUUUGAUUCAGAGACCUCUGGCCCGUGAGAAUAUUGGUACAGUUACAAUUUUGAGCGGUAGUUCUUUCGGCCUUGUUUCCCCAAGCAGUCAGUGUCUGAAAGUGCCAAUGAUUGUGCAAGGAUAACCGCAUCUCGCGGGCAGGAGCUAGCCCAAAGGGUCCCAUGCCCCCUUAUAACCCCACAGUUUGAUGUGAAGCUCAAUGUAAUACAUUGGGUAAAAAAACCGAACAACUGUUAACAAUGGAUAUCUUGGUUCUC